GUAUCAUUUAGAUCUGUUAACAGUACAGUUGAGAGAGUUGGUGUCUUUUGUUGAGGUGCGAGGACCCGAGGCGGCGACCCUCGCCUUUAUUCGGAGAAGCCCACUUCCACCCACAGAGUUGGGGUAGUCCUCCGAAAUGCAUUUUUGUUUUGCCGUUUGUUUUCCAACCCCCUUUCACUCUCCCCAAAGCUUCAGAUUCACUGAUUUUUCAUACAGGAAUGAUUAACAAAGGCGUCCGAAGAAAUCGUUGUUGGAAGGUGGCCAAAGUGGAAAGAGAGGUUGCUUUGGCCCUGCAAGUAAGAAGAGAGAAGGAAUAGCCUGAAGGAGUAACACUAAAUUUAAAAUGACACUUUUUUACCAACCAGCGAAAGCAGAUGUUCAAAGGGGAUAUUGGCCAGAGUCUGUCACACUAAGAUGAGAAAUAUCCUUUCUUCCUGAAGGUGUCUGAUGUGUAAAAAUACUGAUAUACUUUGUGCUGUUUCCUCCCUUCCCUUUUGCACAUUAUUCUGAAACAACAUUAACUAGUUACUUUGCGUCAUUGAAGGUAUGCACUUCCCCUCUACGUUAGGAGGGAAUAAAAUUAAAAAUAGAUCCUUAUAGCAAAGAAAGGCAGAUAGAAUGAUUAAAAAUGACCAAAACAUGUUAGAAACAG
rnacentral:lncRNA from 1 species